AACUGUCAAGUGAAACCCAAUGGAAACCGAGCCCAAGCUCCGAACGGCCCAUUAAUAUACUUGAGGCCCAAGACCAAUUUCCCCCCUUUCCCACGGCCCCAACUAUCCUCAUCUAUUGUCCUUCGCUGAUCGGGAAUCGGGAGUGCUGCACCAGACGCUUUCGAUCCUUAGUCUGCCAUGGGAGUUCACUUCCAGCUCUGCACGAUCACGACAACAACAGGCACACAAUCGAAAUUCAAACAUAGCUUUACAGUGCUUUUGAAGUAAAAGAAAAGAUAGAAUACAAUUGAGAAAGAGAAGGCGAAACAAAAUUCAAGAAGUUUCAUGUAAUCAGCUGGACAAAAAGGGAGGCUAGAAUCAUGGUGGGAUCUCCAAGAAUGAUACUAACGAUGGUCUGGAUGAAAAUCUCGAGGAUUCUCAGCAUCUUGUUACCUCCUCCGCCUUUCUUCCGACGGCUAAUUUCUUUCAGAUUCAUAUUCAGAGCCAAAGAUUUUUCAGCAGUGUUUCCUCCGGUUCUGUGCCAUUCAUCUAAAGCCAUUUCAGUAACACAAGCCACAUGAACAUGGUAGUUGCCGCAGUCAGAGAUGUACGACCACCCAUUGCCUCGGCCGCCGUGUUUGGGGCGCCUACUCUUGCACCACAUGCACUUCCCUUUCACCUCCUUGUGGAGAUUGAACUCCACGUCUUCAAUUUGGUAUCUAUUUUUGAGGUUUCGGCAGCAUGGGUGGAGGUCCAAGUCAUCUUCCUCGCAGUGGAACACGAAGCCAUUGAUGGUUUUUCUGCAAGCGUCGCACCUUACUAUGGUCUCGUGGCAGCAUUUUGGUGGGUUUCGGAGGAACUCAAAGGUGGAACCCGGAAAGAAUUCAUGGGAAUUCGGUGCAUUGUGUGCAAACAUACAGGCUUUGUGGAGAUCAAAAUCGCAUUUAUCGCAUCGGUAUCGAGGGCCGAAUCCUGUUUCCUUGCAGCCAUCGCAGUGGUAAGGUUUCUUAUACUCCUUCAGCUCCAAUUCAUGCAUCUGGUGGCUUGGAUUACGCAAGGUCUCCAUCGCCAUUUCUCUGUGUUGCCUUCAAAAGAAAAAACAAGAACAAUUCUGGGUGCAGGGAAAAGAGCAGAGCAGAGCAGAUCAGAGAAGAGAUUUGAGAAUAUGCAGAAUGGAAUGCGUGGCUAUAUAUAAAAAUGAAAUCGAAGGCAUUGAGUUUCAGGUUGUUUCCAAGAAAUCUUUGAGGAAAG